rnacentral:rRNA from 1 species
AGAGUUUGAUCCUGGCUCAGAAUGAACGCUGGCGGCGUGGUUUAGGCAUGCAAGUCGAACGAUCUGCUGUAAUGCAGAUAGUGGCGAAAGGGUGAGUAACGCGUGGGUUAUUUGCCUUCUGGUUCGGAAUAACUUCGCGAAAGCGAGGCUAAUACUGGAUAAGACCACAAAUUCUAAGGGAUUUGAGGUUAAAGCCGGGGACCCCAACAGGGCCUGGCGCCGGAAGAGGAGCCCGCGUCCUAUCAGCUUGUUGGUGAGGUAAUGGCUCACCAAGGCUAAGACGGGUAGCUGGUCUGAGAGGAUGGUCAGCCACACUGGGACUGAGACACUGCCCAGACUCCUACGGGAGGCUGCAGUCGAGAAUCUUUUGCAAUGCGCGAAAGCGUGACAAUGCGACGCCGCGUGAGCGAUGAAGCCCUUCGGGGUGUAAAGCUCUGUCAGCCCGGAUGAAUAUUUAUCUUUUAACAGAGGAUAGAGACGACAGUACGGGCAGAGGAAGCCACGGCUAACUCCGUGCCAGCAGCCGCGGUAAUACGGAGGUGGCAAGCGUUAUUCGGAAUUAUUGGGUGUAAAGGGUAUGUAGGUGUCUUAAUAAGUCGGGCGUGAAAUCCCAUGGCUCAACCAUGGAACUGCACUCGAUACUGUUAAGAUUGAGUAUGGAAGAGGAGAGUGGAAUUCCCGGUGUAAGGGUGAAAUCUGUAGAUAUCGGGAGGAACACCAGUGGCGAAAGCGGCUCUCUGGUCCAAUACUGACACUGAAAUACGAAAGCAAGGGGAGCAAACAGGAUUAGAUACCCUGGUAGUCCUUGCAGUAAACGAUGGGCACUAGGUGUAGGCCGGUUACGGUCUGUGCCGCAGUUAACACAUUAAGUGCCCCACCUGGGGAGUACGGCGGCAACGUUGAAACUCAAAGGAAUUGACGGGGACCCGCACAAGCGGUGGAGCAUGUGGUUUAAUACGACGAUACGCGUGGAACCUUACCUGGGCUUGACAUGCUUGAAGUAGGAACCUGAAAGGGAGACGAUCCGUUAAGUCGGAAACUUGCACAGGUGUUGCAUGGCUGUCGUCAGCUCGUGUCGUGAGAUGUUGGGUUAAGUCCCGCAACGAGCGCAACCAUCGUCAUUAGUUGCUAAUCACUUUUGGUGAAGCACUCUAGUGAGACUGCCAGUGUUUAACUGGAGGAAGGUGGUGACGACGUCAAGUCAGUACGGCCCUUACGCCCAGGGCUACACACGUGCUACAAUGGCCGGUACAAAGAGAAGCGAAACCGCGAGGUUAAGCGAAUCUCAGAAAGCCGGUCUCAGUUCAGAUUGAAGGCUGCAAUUCGCCUUCAUGAAGCUGGAAUCGCUAGUAAACGCAGAUCAGCUAUGCUGCGUUGAAUACGUUCCCGGGUCUUGUACACACCGCCCGUCAAGUCACCUGAGUCGAGUGCACCCGAAGUCGCUAUUCUAACCCGCAAGGGAGGAAGGCGCCGAAGGUGUGCUUGGUGAGGAGGACUAAGUCGUAACAAGGUA